CGAGUCGUGCGGGCGGUCGCGUCGGUCCCGAGAGGGCACCGCCGAGGAACGUCCGGGCUCCACAGGGCAGGGUGGUAGGUAACGCCUACCUGGGGCGACCCACGGGAAAGUGCCACAGAAAGCAGACCGCCGGGGCCGUACGGCGCCCGGUAAGGGUGAAACGGUGGUGUAAGAGACCACCAGCGGCCAGGGUGACCUGGUCGGCUCGGUAAACCCCACCCGGAGCAAGGUCAAGAGAGGUCGUCGCCCCUCGCGGGCGGCGACUCGCGCGGAUGCUUGAGGGCUGCCCGCCCGAGUCCGCGGGUAGACCGCUGGAGGUCGCCGGUGACGGCGACCCUAGAUGGAUGGCCGCCUCCGGGCGGACCGCGAGGUCCACCCGAGACAGAACCCGGCGUAGAGCGCGACUCGUCUG
rnacentral:RNase_P_RNA from 2 species